UGCCCCUGAGCCAUUGCAUUUGUCUGCCUUGUCUGUGCAUUGAGAUGUCCAAAGCAGCAUAGUGCAAUGGUGUCAGGGUC
rfam:Branchiostoma floridae genomic scaffold BRAFLscaffold_13, whole genome shotgun sequence.